rnacentral:rRNA from 1 species
GACGAACGCUGGCGGCGUGCCUAAUACAUGCAAGUUGAGCGAUGAAGAUUGGUGCUUGCACCACUGUGAAGAGCAGCGAACGGGUGAGUAACGCGUGGGGAAUCUGCCUUUGAGCGGGGGACAACAUCUGGAAACGAAUGCUAAUACCGCAUAACAACUUUAAACAUAAGUUUUAAGUUUGAAAGAUGCAAUUGCAUCACUCAAAGAUGAUCCCGCGUUGUAUUAGCUAGGUGGUGAAGUAAAGGCUCAACAAGGCGAAGAUACAUAGCCGGCCUGAGAGGGGGGUCCGCCAACUUGGGAAUGGGGAACGGGCCAAGCCCCUAACGGGGGCAGCAGGAGGGAAUCUUCGGCAAAGGAGGAAAGGCUUGACGAGGCAACGCCGGGGGGUUAAGAAGGGUUUCGGAUCGGAAAACUUCUUUGAUAGGGAAGGAACUUAUUUAGAGGGAACUGCUCAUCUCGUGACGGUACCUACUCAGAAAGCCACGGCUAACUACGUG